ACGCAGUAGCGAUUUUGAUCGCCAGACGUGAAGAUGUCUUCUUCUGGCUACGCGCAUGAGAUUCAGGAAAAUUCGGUCGUCUUUGAGCAGAUUUGAGGCAUUCCCCGACUAGUUCUAAGUGUUUACCGUUACCGCUGUAUGUUUUGAAGUGAAGCGAAAUACUUGUUAGUCGCGAAUAUCGCUAAAUCAGUCGAAUACGGACGGUUUUCUAGUUUUGGAGCCUAUUUUUAAAAAUAAACAAAAAAGUGACGUAACUUUUGCCCCGCGACAAGAGCUUUCGCCAGUGAGGAAAAUGAGAGCGUAAAAGAAACGGCCACAGUGAGAGCACUUUGCGAGCGCUCAUGAAAACACAACAAUUGUGCAAACAUACAUACAAUAAUUUGUUUUUAUUUACAUUCUUAUGUUGAUAAACAAAUGAAAGUCACGUGUCUAACAGGAAACGAUUUAAAUUCAAGAACUAAUAUCAACCAAGGCACCCACAUAUAAAUGAUUGUUGAACCUUUGGUGCAAGAUCAAAUCGGUAAUAUUCAUAUACAGUUACAUUUACUAAGAGUCCCAUUGGAAGCUUGCUGAUUUCGAAAAUGUCGAAAAAGUGUGGCGUCCGAUCGCUGAGCGAUAGUGCUUUGGCUGAACUGGCCAACCAGAUUGUCUCGACGAUCGGCUACGCCAAGUACGCGCCCGACGUUGUGCUGGACAUCGAUAUCGUAAUGGUGGACAUCAAUCAGUAUCUCGAGCAGACUGGCGCCACCUGGAACAUAUAUCAGGACCUGCUGCGCGUCAUACUCAGCUCCGACUACCUGGACGCCAACAUGCGCUUCACCUGCCUACAAAUGCUACUUAACGGCAGUGUGUCUUUUUUGGUCACCGAAGUCUUUCCCUUUUCAUAUUAUGAGAAAAUUCUGCAAGUGAUCGCGGCACAGGGCACCGGCUUACGUGUGCUCAACUUGAAGGGCGUGUGGGUGAAGGAGGAGCACAUGCAUUACCUCUUCGAAAUCGUGCGCAAGUGCAAGUAUUUGACCAAGUUGUUUGUGCCCUACAUUGCCAACGAUGACCUGCUGGAGGUGAUUGCCAAACACUGCAGACAACUGAAAGUGUUGGACAUAUCCGGCGAGACGGACAUUACCGAAAUCGGCAUAGAGUCUCUCAGUCACGGUGUGUGCAACGAGAUAUUGACGGUCGUGGACAUUGGUAUGCCCGGUGAGGAGAAUAUCUGCUACUCAGACAUUGCACUAAUAUUAGAGCAUUGCCCCAAUGUGGAGACGCUCUCCACCUACUCGUUUGUGGGCGCUUCGCUGAAGUUCGUGCAUGAUAAUAUUGACGAGAAUUUCACCUGCAAGCUACGCUACUUACACGACACUGGUACGGACGAGGCGACACUUCGUGUGAUUAUGAAGACUUGUCCACACUUGGAAUCCUUAUAUCUGGACACACCGAAAGCGGGUUCGCUCUCUGUGCUUACGAGCACCUAUCUGCGUAAAUUGAAAGUCUACAAGUUUUCAUGUGCCGAAGUAAUGGAAGUACUCGACAAGAUCGGGCACAAUCUCAGUCACCUGACCAUGAUAAAGGGUGUUGGGCACAUGGAAAUAAGCGAAAUUGUGCGGGCCUGUCCGUUGCUGGUCGACUUGGACUGCUACAUGAUGGAUGGACUCGCUUAUACCAAGAACACCCAUCGGUUUGAAUGCUUGGAAGGCCUGGAAAUGCUUAGCAGUCCCAUGUCCAAUACUUCACUGAAAUUGCUCAUUUGCAGUUGCAGGCAGCUGAAACGUUUGGCGGUGGACAGCAUUAACUUUACGGACGAGGAUAUCGUCAAUAUUUUCGUGGAGCACGAUUUCUACGCACUGGAGGACGUCUGGUUCACGUUGGCGCCAAACUUGACCGUGCAAUCCAUUGAGAUACUCAUGGACCGGUGUCCGGAACUGCAGUCGGUUGGUCAAUUGAGCGGUUGGUCACUGACUCCAGAUGACUUGGCGUUGAUACGUGGACUAUUGAAGAGCGGCAACUCUUGCCUUGUACUUACACCUAACGGGUUUUUCCCUUGAAAGCUGUGAUUUUAAACGUUUCGCAUUAACCCUCUUACAUACAUAUGCAAAUACCCAUUCAAGAUUUAACGAAAAUCUGCAGUCGCGGCAAAGCAACAAGAACGUUUGCAGUGAAGUCGUGAAGUCGCUGGAGAAUCGACAAUUUCGUGUUUAAAUUAGUAACGCACUCGGCCACAUCGAUCGGAUGUAGUACCUAGAUAUUAUAGCUUGAUUAUUUGAGUUAUUUGAAAAUGUGAUAGUAAGAUAAAGUAAAUGUCUUUGUAAAAAAAAGUGAACAUUUUAAAUACAUACAUGUUGAUAUUUGAAAAGUAAA